AAUCAACGCUGGCGGCGUGCCUAACACAUGCAAGUCGAGCGAGAAAGUGUAGCAAUACCAUGAGUAAAGCGGCGCACGGGUGAGUAACACGUGACUAACCUACCCUCGAGUGGGGAAUAACUUCGGGAAACCAGGCUAAUACCGCAUAAUACCCACGGGUCAAAAAGAGCAAUCUGCUUGAGGAGGGGGUCGCGGCCGAUUAGUAGUUGGCAGGGUAAUGGCCUACCAAGCGANGAUCGGUAUCCGGCCUGAGAGGGCGCACGGACACACUGGAACUG
rnacentral:rRNA from 1 species